UGUGCAGGGAGCACCAAGCUGCUGCUCUGUCAGGAGCAGCUGGCUGCCCAGGAUGCUGCAUUCAUCUCCAUCCAGGCGUUCCCAGCACUGCUGGAUCUGCCACAGGACCUGGAGGUCAGCGCUGUCAGCUGUGGCUCCCGACACACAGCCGUGGUCACGCGAGGCGGGGAGCUCUACACCUGGGGCUGGGGUAAAUACGGGCAGCUGGGACACGGGAACAACGUCAGCUCUGACCAGGCCCGCCGCGUGGAGCACCUGGUGGCCGAGGGGCUGCGGGUGGAGGAGGUGGUGUGUGGGCCCUGGACCACCUAUGUGCGUGUGCGGGAGCCGUGAGGGCCCCAGGAGCCGUGGGUGCUGCAGAUGGCGGUGAGGGCAGGCUCUGCUCUGCAGGACCAGCUCCAGGACUGCUCUGUGCUCAGGGCAGGGCAGGCAGCCCUCCUGCGGCACAGGACAGGGCUGAGUUCAGCCCGCAGUGACCUGAUUGACAUGCUGGAGUGGGGCUGCAGCUGCAUCAGGGCCAGGGACACCCUGGGACAGGCUGGAUGUGUUCAUUAAAUUCACUUUUCCAUAAGGGCUGCAGUGUUGGUGUGUGCGAGACAUGUUCCAGCAUAUCAGGCUCCAGUGAAGCUGUCCUGGGGCAGGGACUGCACGGGGCCGUGCCUGGGUUUGUGUGAGCACG
rnacentral:lncRNA from 1 species